AUUGAACGCUGGCGGCAGGCCUAACACAUGCAAGUCGAGCGCGAAAGUUCUUCGGAAUGAGUAAAGCGGCGGACGGGUGAGUAAUACAUGGGAAUCUGCCUGGUAGUGGGGGACAACGUUUCGAAAGGAACGCUAAUACCGCAUACGCCCUACGGGGGGAAAGGGGGGGUAUCUUCGGACCUCUCGCUAUCAGAUGACGC
rnacentral:rRNA from 1 species